GACGAACGGUGCAAACGUUGUUCGGAAUCACUGGGCUUAAAGGGCGCGUAGGCGGCUUGCCAAGUCAGGGGUGAAAUCUUUCGGCUCAACCGGAAAAGUGCCUCUGAUACUGGCGAGCUAGAGGGAGGUAGGGGCAUGUGGAACUUCCGGUGGAGCGGUGAAAUGCGUUGAUAUCGGAAGGAACGCCGGUGGCGAAAGCGACGUGCUGGACCUCUUCUGACGCUGAGGCGCGAAAGCUAGGGUAGCGAACGGG
rnacentral:rRNA from 1 species